rnacentral:rRNA from 1 species
GCAAGAUUAAAACUCAAAGGAAUAGACGGGGACCCGCACAAGCGGCGGAGCAUGUGGUUUAAUUCGAAGAUACGCGAAGAACCUUACCUGGACUUGAUAUCCUUGGAAUCCCUCAGAGAUGAGAGAGUGCUAGUUUACUAGAACCAAGUGACAGGUGCUGCACGGCUGUCGUCAGCUCGUGUCGUGAGAUGUUGGGUUAAGUCCCGCAACGAGCGCAACCCUCGUCCUUAGUUGCUAACAGUUCGGCUGAGCACUCUAAGGAGACUGCCUGGGUAACCAGGAGGAAGGUGAGGACGACGUCAAGUCAUCAUGGCCCUUAUGUCCAGGGCUACACACGUGCUACAAUGGCUAGGACAGAGAGACGCGAUACCGCGAGGUGGAGCAAAUCUUAAAACCUAGUCUCAGUUCGGAUUGAAGUCUGCAACUCGACUUCAUGAAGCUGGAAUCGCUAGUAAUCGUAGAUCAGCAAUGCUACGGUGAAUACGUUCCCGGGUCUUGUACUCACCGCCCGUCACACCAUGGGAGUUGAAUUCACCCGAAGCCGGAAUGCCAGAAUGGCUACCGACCACGGUGGGUUCAGCGACUGGGGUGAAGUCGUAACAAGGUA